CCUACGGGCGGCUGCAGUGGGGAAUAUUGGACAAUGGGCGCAAGCCUGAUCCAGCAAUGCCGCGUGUGUGAAGAAGGCCUGCGGGUUGUAAAGCACUUUCAGUGGGGAGGAAGGCCUCGAUAUUAAUACUAUUGAGGAUUGACGUUACCCACAGAAGAAGCACCGGCUAACUCUGUGCCAGCAGCCGCGGUAAUACAGAGGGUGCAAGCGUUAAGCGGAGGGUCUGGAGGUGGAGGGUGCAGUGGGGGGUGAAAGCCCCGGGCUCAACCUGGGAAUUGCAUUUGAUACUGAGUAACUUGAGUAUGGUAGAGGGAAGUGGAAUUUCCAGUGUAGCGGUGAAAUGCGUAGAUAUUGGAAGGAACAUCAGUGGCGAAGGCGACUUCCUGGACCAUUACUGACACUGAGGCACGAAAGCGUGGGGAGCGAACAGGAUUAGAUACCCCGGUAGUC
rnacentral:rRNA from 1 species